rnacentral:rRNA from 1 species
GACGUAGGGUGCGAGCGUUGUCCGGAUUUAUUGGGCGUAAAGAGCUCGUAGGCGGCUCGUCGCGUCGACCGUGAAAACCCGCGGCUUAACUGCGGGCUUGCGGUUGAUACGGGCGGGCUAGAGUUCGGUAGGGGAGACUGGAAUUCCUGGUGUGGCGGUGAAAUGCGCAGAUAUCAGGAGGAACACCGGUGGCGAAGGCGGGUCUCUGGGCCGAUACUGACGCUGAGGAGCGAAAGCGUGGGGAGCGAACAGG